UAGGGAAUAUUGGUAAUGUGCGAAAGCGCGAACCAGCAACGCCGCGUGCACGAUGAAGGCCUUCGGGUCGUAAAGUGCUUUUAGAGAGGAUGAGGAAGGACAGUACUUUCUGAAUAAGCCUCGGCUAACUACGUGCCAGCAGCCGCGGUAAAACGUAGGAGGCAAGCGUUAUCCGGAUUUACGGGGCGUAAAGCGCAUGCAGGUGGUUUUGUAAGUUGGAUGUGAAAGCUCCUGGCUUAACUGGGAGAGGUCGUUCAAAACUACAAGACUUGAGAUUGGUAGAGGAAAAUGGAAUUCCGGGUGUAGUGGUGAAAUGCGUAGAUAUCCGGAGGAACACCAGUGGCGAAAGCGGUUUUCUGGACCAAUUCUGACACUCAGAUGCGAAAGCUAAGGUAGCAAACG
rnacentral:rRNA from 1 species